rnacentral:rRNA from 1 species
GACGAACGCUGGCGGCGUGCUUAACACAUGCAAGUCGAACGGAAAGGCCCUGCUUUUGUGGGGUGCUCGAGUGGCGAACGGGUGAGUAACACGUGAGUAACCUGCCCUUGACUUUGGGAUAACUUCAGGAAACUGGGGCUAAUACCGGAUAGGAGCUCCUGCUGCAUGGUGGAGGUUGGAAAGUUUCGGCGGUUGGGGAUGGACUCGCGGCUUAUCAGCUUGUUGGUGGGGUAGUGGCUUACCAAGGCUUUGACGGGUAGCCGGCCUGAGAGGGUGACCGGCCACAUUGGGACUGAGAUACGGCCCAGACUCCUACGGGAGGCAGCAGUGGGGAAUAUUGCACAAUGGGCGGAAGCCUGAUGCAGCAACGCCGCGUGCGGGAUGACGGCCUUCGGGUUGUAAACCGCUUUCGCCUGUGACGAAGCGUGAGUGACGGUAAUGGGUAAAAAAGCACCGGCUAACUACGUG